UACGAAGGGUGCAAGCGUUACUCGGAAUUACUGGGCGUAAAGCGUGCGUAGGUGGUUUGUUAAGUCUGUUGUGAAAGCCCCGGGCUCAACCUGGGAAUGGCAAUGGAUACUGGCAAGCUAGAGUGCGGUAGAGGGUAGUGGAAUUCCCGGUGUAGCGGUGAAAUGCGUAGAGAUCGGGACGAACACCAGUGGCGAAGGCGGCUACCUGGACCAGCACUGACACUGAGGCACGAAAGCGUGGGGAGCAAACAGG
rnacentral:rRNA from 1 species